rfam:Ailuropoda melanoleuca scaffold1696_24, whole genome shotgun sequence.
GCCUGGGUGGCACAGCGGUUGAGCGUCUGCCUUCGGCUCAGGGCGUGAUCUCAGCGUUGUGGGAUCGAGCCCCACAUCAGGCU